rnacentral:rRNA from 1 species
CGCGGGAUUUCUCCAGAGAUUAGCUUGCUUUAUUUGUCAGCUAAGUGGCGCACGGGUGAGUAAUGUAUAGAUAACCUGCCCUUAAGAAAGGAAUAACAGUUGGAAACGACUGCUAAUGCCCUAUAUGCCUUUAAUACAUAAGUAUGCAAGGGAAACGCUUUAGUGCUUAAGGAUGGGUCUGUAUGGUAUCAGCUUGUUGGUGAGGUAAUGGCUCACCAAGGCUAUGACGCCUAACUGGUUUGAGAGGAUGAUCAGUCACACUGGAACUGAGACACGGUCCAGACUCCUACGGGAGGCAGCAGUGGGGAAUAUUGCACAAUGGACGAAAGUCUGAUGCAGCAACGCCGCGUGGAGGAUGACACAUUUCGGUGCGUAAACUCCUUUUAUAUAGGAAGAUAAUGACGGUACUAUAUGAAUAAGCACCGGCUAACUCCGUGCCAGCAGCCGCGGUAAUACGGAGGGUGCAAGCGUUACUCGGAAUCACUGGGCGUAAAGAGCGUGUAGGCGGGUAUAUAAGUCAGAAGUGAAAUCCUAUAGCUUAACUAUAGAACUGCUUUUGAAACUGUAUACCUAGAAUGUGGGAGAGGUAGAUGGAAUUUCUGGUGUAGGGGUAA